rnacentral:rRNA from 1 species
UUGCUACUUACAUCAUUGAUGUAAGAUCAACUAUGUUGAAUAAAGUUCUGGGUAGAAUUAGAUAAUGACAUUUUCUGCCCAUGUGUCUUGACCAAUUACGUGCCAGCUGUCGCGGUAAUACGUAUAAGGCUAGCGUUAUUCAUGUUUAAUCGGUUUAAAGGGUACCUAGACGGCAAAUCAAGCUUAUGAAGAAAGGACUAAUUUGCUUGAGUUACAUCUGAGGGGGCUAUAAAGUACUGCUGGUGUAGGGAUGAAAUUCUAUGAUACCUUAUUUCGAAAGAAAAGUUAUGGCACAGGUAUAGGCGAAGGCAUCCCCUUAUAUGAUAACUGACGUUGAGGGACGAAGGCUCUGGACCACGAACAGGAUUAGAGACCCUGGUAGUUGGAGCAGUAAACGAUGAAUGUCAUAGAUUAGAUAUAUAAGUUUAUUCUAUAAAUGAAAGUGUAAGCAUUCCACCUCAAGAGUAAUAUGGCAACAUUGGAACUGAAAUCAUUAGACCGUUUCUGAAAUUAGUAGUGAAGUAUGUUGUUUAAUUUGAUAGUCCGCAAAAAACCUUACCACAAUUUGAAUAUUUAGAUUGUUUAUUGUUAUCUCAUUAGUUUCCUUUUUAUUUAUAAUAAUGGAGUAGACAAGCAAAAACACUGAUUAAUUAUACAAAUUUAGAAACUCCUUAUUGAUGAAUAAAGAAUAAAAUUAAUGUUGAGGCAAUAACAUAUACUUACAAGCGUUGCACGGCUGUCGUCAGUUGAUGUCGCGAGACUGUGGUUUACUCCACCAAUUAACGUAAACCCUUGCUUUAUUUUUAGAUAAAGUAGAUAAUCACCGAUAUGGGGA